GAGACACCCUUAUGGGGCAGGACUUGCUUCAGUGGGGCUUUAGUACUCACUGAGUCUGCCCAUUGAGAGUGUCACU
rfam:Myotis davidii contig61173, whole genome shotgun sequence.